rnacentral:other from 1 species
GUUUCCCUGCUGUGCUCGAGUGAACAGUCAAUUCUUGAGCCAACUCGUGAAAAACGGGAUUGAAACUUAACUGUGGUGUGCAAACCUCCCGGGAGGAGGGAGCCUGAAGCAGAAACGGAGAUCCCACCUGUCCUUGGCAGGUUCAAAAAUUAGAUUUUUUGCACGGUACAGCGGGGAACCU